rnacentral:rRNA from 1 species
GGAGGUUGCAAGCGUUGUUCGGAAUAACUGGGCGUAAAGCGGGCGCAGGCGGCUAAGUCAGUCUGAAGUGGAAUCCCAGGGCUCAACCCUGGAAUUGCUUUGGAUACUGCUUAGCUUGAGUAUGUGAGAGGAGAGUGGAAUUCCUGGUGUAGCGGUGAAAUGCGUAGAUAUCAGGAGGAACACCCAUGGCGAAAGCAACUCUCUGGCACAUCACUGACGCUGAGGCCCGAAAGCGUGGGGAGCGAACAGGAUUAGAUACCCUGGUAGUCCCACGCCGUAAACGUUGUGCACUAGGUGUAGGAGGUAUCGACCCCUUCUGUGCCGUAGCUAACGCAUUAAGUGCACCGCCUGGGGAGUACGCUCGCAAGAGUG